GAUGAACGCUGGCGGCGUGCCUAAUACAUGCAAGUCGAGCGAACGGACGAGAAGCUUGCUUCUCUGAUGUUAGCGGCGGACGGGUGAGUAACACGUGGAUAACCUACCUAUAAGACUGGGAUAACUUCGGGAAACCGGAGCUAAUACCGGAUGAUAUUUUGAACCGCAUGGUUCAAAAGUGAAAGACGGUCUUGCUGUCACUUAUAGAUGGAUCCGCGCUGCAUUAGCUAGUUGGUAAGGUAACGGCUUACCAAGGCAACGAUGCAUAGCCGACCUGAGAGGGUGAUCGGCCACACUGGAACUGAGACACGGUCCAGACUCCUACGGGAGGCAGCAGUAGGGAAUCUUCCGCAAUGGGCGAAAGCCUGACGGAGCAACGCCGCGUGAGUGAUGAAGGUCUUCGGAUCGUAAAACUCUGUUAUUAGGGAAGAACAUAUGUGUAAGUAACUGUGCACAUCUUGACGGUACCUAAUCAGAAAGCCACGGCUAACUACGUGCCAGCAGCCGCGGUAAUACGUAGGUGGCAAGCGUUAUCCGGAAUUAUUGGGCGUAAAGCGCGCGUAGGCGGUUUUUUAAGUCUGAUGUGAAAGCCCACGGCUCAACCGUGGAGGGUCAUUGGAAACUGGAAAACUUGAGUGCAGAAGAGGAAAGUGGAAUUCCAUGUGUAGCGGUGAAAUGCGCAGAGAUAUGGAGGAACACCAGUGGCGAAGGCGACUUUCUGGUCUGUAACUGACGCUGAUGUGCGAAAGCGUGGGGAUCAAACAGGAUUAGAUACCCUGGUAGUCCACGCCGUAAACGAUGAGUGCUAAGUGUUAGGGGGUUUCCGCCCCUUAGUGCUGCAGCUAACGCAUUAAGCACUCCGCCUGGGGAGUACGACCGCAGGGUUGAAACUCAAAGGAAUUGACGGGGACCCGCACAAGCGGUGGAGCAUGUGGUUUAAUUCGAAGCAACGCGAAGAACCUUACCAAAUCUUGACAUCCUUUGACAACUCUAGAGAUAGAGCCUUCCCCUUCGGGGGGGACAAAGUGACAGGUGGUGCAUGGUUGUCGUCAGCUCGUGUCGUGAGAUGUUGGGUUAAGUCCCGCAACGAGCGCAACCCUUAAGCUUAGUUGCCAUCAUUAAGUUGGGCACUCUAAGUUGACUGCCGGUGACAAACCGGAGGAAGGUGGGGAUGACGUCAAAUCAUCAUGCCCCUUAUGAUUUGGGCUACACACGUGCUACAAUGGACAAUACAAAGGGCAGCGAAACCGCGAGGUCAAGCAAAUCCCAUAAAGUUGUUCUCAGUUCGGAUUGUAGUCUGCAACUCGACUACAUGAAGCUGGAAUCGCUAGUAAUCGUAGAUCAGCAUGCUACGGUGAAUACGUUCCCGGGUCU
rnacentral:rRNA from 1 species